rnacentral:rRNA from 1 species
UACGAAGGGGGCUAGCGUUGCUCGGAAUCACUGGGCGUAAAGGGUGCGUAGGCGGGUCUUUAAGUCAGGGGUGAAAUCCUGGAGCUCAACUCCAGAACUGCCUUUGAUACUGAGGAUCUUGAGUACGGGAGAGGUGAGUGGAACUGCGAGUGUAGAGGUGAAAUUCGUAGAUAUUCGCAAGAACACCAGUGGCGAAGGCGGCUCACUGGCCCGGUACUGACGCUGAGGUACGAAAGCGUGGGGAGCAAACAGG